rnacentral:tRNA from 1 species
GGCCCAUUAGCUCAGUUGGUUAGAGCGUCGUGCUAAUAACGCGAAGGCCAUGGGUUCUAUCCCCCCAUGGGACA